rnacentral:rRNA from 1 species
AGUGAACGCUGGCGGUAGGCCUAACACAUGCAAGUCGAACGGCAGCACAGUAAGAGCUUGCUCUUACGGGUGGCGAGUGGCGGACGGGUGAGGAAUACAUCGGAAUCUACUUUUUCGUGGGGGAUAACGUAGGGAAACUUACGCUAAUACCGCAUACGACCUACGGGUGAAAGCAGGGGAUCUUCGGACCUUACGCGAUUGAAUGAGCCGAUGUCGGAUUAGCUAGUUGGCGGGGUAAAGGCCCACCAAGGCGACGAUCCGUAGCUGGUCUGAGAGGAUGAUCAGCCACACUGGAACUGAGACACGGUCCAGACUCCUACGGGAGGCAGCAGUGGGGAAUAUUGGACAAUGGGCGCAAGCCUGAUCCAGCCAUACCGCGUGGGUGAAGAAGGCCUUCGGGUUGUAAAGCCCUUUUGUUGGGAAAGAAAAGCAGCAGGUUAAUACCCCGCUGUCCUGACGGUACCCAAAGAAUAAGCACCGGCUAACUUCGUG